GACUAGUCUUCUAGUUCCUUCCUUUGAAAAAACAUCUCCGCAACAUGAUUCUACCACCACUAUGCUUCAUUGUAGCGAUGAAAUUGACCAGGUCAAAAGCGCUGCCUGGUUUCCUCCGAGCAUAAUGUCUGGCAUGCAACUCGUGUGAAUUGAUAACACUUUGACUUCCGUACUUCGGACUUCAGAGGCACAUUUUUGAAUCGACUUUUGAAGCACUCAACUGUUGACGUUCCACUCCGGGUGUGCAAGGAUUGCGCACGCCCAUUUUCUAACCAUAACAGAGUUUAGUAGCAGUCAAUUUACAAGACAAGGGAGGUCACAGUGUGGGCUAAACCAAUUUAGCUCAAUAUAUGGGAUGUCCCGGUGCAGGAUAUUUACAGUUCGAGGAAUUGAGCUGGCUUGCUGUGAUAAAAAAAUUUAUAUCAGGCAGGCAGGACAACUUGGCAAGGAAAAAUUGUUCAUCAAGAAAGCUGCGUGGUUCUAAAUUUGUUGUCGAUGCUUUUUGACCCCCUUGGGUGAAUCGUGUUUAGCAAACAUAAUUCUUAACAGCAGCCAUGUGGCCCUCCGAACAGUUUUUUUUCCUUCCGAUUAAUACAACUUAACCCCAAGAAAGGAGAGAAAAUGAGGUAAACUCCAUUUAUCCUUGAUGUAUUUCUAUAUAAGGCAACAAUAAAAUGUAUUAAGGGGAUCGAUAUUUGGAUGUGCGCAAGCAGUGCGGUUUGGAAGUGGAAUGGGCAUCGGUUACCAAAAUUUCUUCUCUAUUAGCUCCCAGUUGCCUUAAUAAUAAUGUGGGCGAAAUCAUUUUGCCAAAAUAGCCUAUGGAUGAAUUCUAAACAUAUUUUGACACCACUUUCUUGCCUUGCCAAAAUCAAGCUAGUCCGAUAUCACUUGCUUUUUCAUUUUCUUCAUUAAGUUUCUCAUAUUGGGGUUGUUUACAAUUUAUUACAUUCACUCAAUUAUUCUUUAUAUAUUCUUUCUACUUUUUAUUUUUGGGUUACUUUCAGGAUCCAAGGUCUUAUGUUCAACCUAUUCAAAGGUCAGGGUUGCUAUGCGCGUGCUGAGUAUCUACGCACCUUGACAGCUGUUUCCCAGAGUCUGAAAAAUCCCGCUCAUCAAGGUUGGCCUCUCUUUUGGCGUUGUAGCCUUUCCAAAAAAAAAAAAAAAAAAAAAAAAAAAAGCCAA